UGUGAAUGGCGGGUGAGUGGGUUGUGGUGAUGUGUGUCUGGUGAGUGUUUGUGUUUGGUGAUUGUUUGAGUGUGUGUGAAUGUGUGUAUUUCUGUUAAAAACCUACACAGUGAUCUUAUUUGAUCCGGUUUGAGUCUGGCUCUGCUCGAACCGGAGAUGAUAGGAAAAAACGCUCUCGAGCCUCUUUGGCGCUGAGUAGCAGGCACUAUUUCACCUCCAGGGCCUCCACGCUGCACAGUGUGGUUUAGACGUGAUGAAUUGAUCAGAUAUACUAGUUCGGGAUGAGUUUGGGGUUCAUACUCCAAACUUCACAACGGACACUGAGUAAAGAGGCGAUUCUGAUCUAA